rnacentral:hammerhead_ribozyme from 1 species
GUCCAGCUGACGAGUUCCAAAUAGGACGAAACGCGCAUCUUGAAU